rnacentral:rRNA from 1 species
GACGAACGCUGGCGGCGUGCUUAACACAUGCAAGUCGAACGGAAAGGCCCUGCUUUUGUGGGGUGCUCGAGUGGCGAACGGGUGAGUAACACGUGAGUAACCUGCCCCUGACUUUGGGAUAACUUCAGGCAACUGGGGCUAAUACCGCCUAGGAGCUCCCGCUGCAUGGUGGGGGUUGGAAAGUUUCGGCGGUUGGGGAUGGACUGGCGGCGCAUCGGCUUGUUGGUGGGGUAGUGGCUUACCAAGGCUUGGACGGGUAGCCGGGCUGAGCGGGUGACCGGCCACAUUGGGACGGAGAUACGGCCCGGCCUCGUACGGGAGGGAGCGGUGGGGUAUAGUGCACAAUGGGCGGAAGCCUGAUGCAGCAAAGCCGCGUGGGGGAUGACGGCCUGCGGGUUGUAAUCCGCUUUCGCCUGUGACGAAGCGUGAGUGACGGUAAUGGGUAAAGAAGCUCCGGCUAACUACGUG